rnacentral:rRNA from 1 species
UACAGAGGUCUCAAGCGUUGUUCGGAUUCAUUGGGCGUAAAGGGUGCGUAGGCGGCGAGGCAAGUCUGGUGUGAAAUCCCGGGGCUCAACCCCGGAACUGCACUGGAUACUGCUUUGCUAGAGUACUGGAGAGGGAACUGGAAUUUACGGUGUAGCAGUGAAAUGUGUAGAUAUCGUAAGGAAGACCAGCGGCGAAGGCGAGUUCCUGGACAGUUACUGACGCUGAGGCACGAAGGCCAGGGGAGCAAACGGG